CCUACGGGUGGCAGCAGUGGGGAAUAUUGCACAAUGGGGGAAACCCUGAUGCAGCAACGCCGCGUGAGUGAAGAAGUAUUUCGGUAUGUAAAGCUCUAUCAGCAGGGGAGAAGAUGACGGUACCUGAUUAAGAAGCCCCGGCUAACUACGUGCCAGCAGCCGCGGUAAUGCGUAGGCGGCAAGCGUUAUCCGGAUUUACUGGGUGUAAAGGGAGCGUAGACGGCUUAGCAAGUCUGAAGUGAAAGCCUAAGGCUCAACCAUGAGACUGCAAUGGAGACUGUUAAGCUAGAGUACUGGAGAGGUAGGCGGAAUGCGUGGUGUAGCGGUGAAAUGCGUAGAUAUUAAGAAGAACACCGAUGGCGAAGGCGGCUUACUAAACUGCCACUGACAUUGAGGCUCGAAAGUGUGGGGAGCAAACAGGAUUAGAUACCCUUGUAGUC
rnacentral:rRNA from 1 species